rnacentral:tRNA from 1 species
AAGGUUUUAAGUUAUUAAAACUAUAAGCCUUCAAAGCUUAAAAUAAAAAUGAAUUUUUAGACCUUGCC